rnacentral:tRNA from 1 species
AGGGUUAUAGCUCAGUUGGUAGAGCAUCUCGUUUACACCGAGGAGGUCUA